UUCCGGUUGAUCCUGCCGGACCUGACUGCUAUCGGAAUGAUACUAAGCCAUGCGAGUCAUUGUAGCAAUACAAGGCAGACGGCUCAGUAACGCGUAGUCAAUCUACCCUAUGGACGGGAAUAACCUCGGGAAACUGAGAAUAAUGCCCGACAGAMSAUUAUACCUGGAACCGGUUUAUGUUUCAAAUGAUUUAUCGCCGUAGGAUGGGACUGCGGCCUAUCAGUUUGUUGGUGAGGUAAUGGCCCACCAAGACUAUUACAGGUACGGGCUCUGAGAGGAGUAGCCCGGAGAUGGGUACUGAGACACGGACCCAGGCCCUAUGGGGCGCAGCAGGCGAGAAAACUUUGCAAUGUGCGAAAGCACGACAAGGUUAAUCCGAGUGGUUUCUGCUAAAGAAACCUUUUGCUAGUCCUAGAAACACUAGUGAAUAAGGGGUGGGCAAGUUCUGGUGUCAGCCGCCGCGGUAAAACCAGCACCUCAAGUGGUCAGGAUGAUUAUUGGGCCUAAAGCAUCCGUAGCUCGUUUUGUAAGUUUUCGGUUAAAUCCAUACGCUCAACGUAUGGGCUGCCGGGAAUACUGCAUAACUAGGAAGUGGGAGAGGUAGACGGUACUCGGUAGGAAGGGGUAAAAUCCUUUGAUCUAUUGAUGACCACCUGUGGCGAAGGCGGUCUACCAGAACACGUUCGACGGUGAGGGAUGAAAGCUGGGGGGAGCAAACCGGAUUAGAUACCCGGGUAGUCCCAGCUGUAAACUAUGCAAACUCAGUGAUGCAUUGGCUUGUGGCCAAUGCAGUGCUGCAGGGAAGCCGUUAAGUUUGCCGCCUGGGAAGUACGUACGCAAGUAUGAAACUUAAAGGAAUUGGCGG
rnacentral:rRNA from 1 species